AUUGAACGCUGGCGGCAGGCCUAACACAUGCAAGUCGAGCGCGAAAGUUCUUCGGAAUGAGUAAAGCGGCGGACGGGUGGGUAAUACAUGGGAAUCUGCCUGGUAGUGGGGGACAACGUUUCGAAAGGAGCGCUAAUACCGCAUACGCCCUACGGGGGAAAGGGGGGGAUCGCAAGACCUCUCGCUAUCAGAUGAGCCCA
rnacentral:rRNA from 1 species